GAGUAUGAAGCGAUAUUAUUGCAAUCAGUUUCGACCUGAUCUUAGGUAUUAAUUACCCCUACUCU
rnacentral:tRNA from 1 species